rnacentral:rRNA from 1 species
GUGGGGAAUCUGGGCGAAGCCUGAUCAGCCAUGCCGCGUGUGUGAAGAAGGUCUUCCGGAUUGUAAAGCACUUUAAGUUGGGAGGAAGGGCAGUAAGUUAAUACCUUGCUGUUUUGACGUUACCAACAGAAUAAGCACCGGCUAACUUCGUGCCAGCAGCCGCGGUAAUA